AGUCCAUGGUGCGAGCAUCUCCUUAAACCUCUCCUAUGCUUCAUAAGAGGGCUCACCAUCCAUCUGCAUAAAUGUAGUAAUAUCGUUACACAUUUU
rnacentral:snoRNA from 1 species